GUAGGGAAUAUUGCGCAAUGGACGAAAGUCUGACGCAGCGACGCCGCGUGAGUGAUGAAGGCCUUAGGGUCGUAAAGCUCUGUUGAAUGGGAAGAAAAAAAUGACGGUACCAUUCGAGGAAGGACCGGCUAACUUCGUGCCAGCAGCCGCGGUAAUACGAGGGGUCCUAGCGUUGUUCGGAAUCAUUGGGCGUAAAGGGUGUGUAGGUGGCCAUGUAAGUCAGGUGUGAAAGCACCGGGCUCAACCCGGGAAGUGCACUUGAUACUGCGUGGCUUGAGUACCGAAGAGGGUAGUGGAAUUCCAGGUGUAGUGGUGAAAUACGUAGAUAUCUGGAGGAACACCGGUGGCGAAGGCGGCUACCUGGUCGAGUACUGACACUGAGACACGAAAGCAUGGGGAUCAAACAGGAUUAGAAACCCGAGUAGUCC
rnacentral:rRNA from 1 species